GCCUCCUUUCUCUCUCGGAUCUUUUUGCGGUCUGGGCUUGCUGUUCCUCCAGUCAGCAGUCAGGAAGCCCUUACCCCAAAAAGUAUUUGCGAGGGAUCAACUCGUC
rnacentral:pre_miRNA from 11 species